rnacentral:rRNA from 1 species
AUUGAACGCUGGCGGCAUGCCUAACACAUGCAAGUCGAGCGAGCGGCGGACGGGUGUGUAACGUAUGGGAACUGCUCUAUAGAGGGGGAUAACUACUGGAAACGGUGGCUAAUACCGCAUACUAUCGGAUAACCCAUAUUGGAUUAGCUAGUAGGUGGGGUAAAGGUUCACCUAGGCGACGAUCACUAGCUGGUCUGAGAGGAUGAACGUGCGAACUGGGACUGAGACACGGCCCAGACUCCAACGGAGGCAGCAGUGGGGAAUAUUGCACAAUUGGCGCAAGCCUGAUACAGCAAUGCCGCGUGUAUGAGGAAGGCCUUAGGGUUGUAAAGUACUUUCAGCGGGGAGGCGUUACCCGCAGAAGAAGCACCGGCUAACUCCGUGCCAGCAGCCGCGGUAAUUC